AAUAAGAAAGUCCUUACUAUUUCCUUCUUAAUUUAGUACUUAUAUCUCAAUCAAGUAUUUUGAUAUUCUUUUUUUUGUUACACGGAGCCAAAUUACUGAUAAAUCUAUCCCUAAAACACCGAUAAUGCAAGAUUGAGAAAACUCUUAUAAUUUAAACUAUGAAUGAAACUAUUUCCAGAUUCUUCACGAUUUAAGAAACAUAGCACAACAAAGUAUUGUUUUUGAGAAAAAGGAACAUUUCUUAGGACUUUCUUGAGUUCAUAAUCUUCAGAUGCAGACUCUUCUGCCUUGGUUUCAGCCUCGGGAUCUUCACCUUCGUCUUUUUCUUCCUUGACUAUUGCAUCAACGCUAAUGUUGAGUCUGCUCAUAACUUAGAUAGACAUGUGGGAGGAAAAAUCCUUCGGAUCACUAAGACUGAAGCCACUCUCCAUUCAAGUUUCUUGGACAAUUUGUUGUCAAUGCCAAGGAGGACAAUCUUCAUAAGAAACCAAACCUGAUAACAUCAAGUCCACUGUUAUUCGUUCAAUUGUUGGUUGUUAAUAGACUAAAAUGUAUCUAUGCAAAAGCGGGUUGACUUUAGAUAUGAAGGAUAGAUUUUAGCAACCAACAAAAACAGCUUCAUAGCAAGUUGAAGCACAAGAGGAACCAAUUUUUCUUUAUGUUUUGUAAAGGAUGGUUAAAGAUGUUCUCUUUCUUGUUGAAAUUUUAUGAUUGUAUUUAUUUUAAAGUUGAUAAAGAUAAUAUUGUACAA